UACGGAGGAUGCAAGCGUUAUCCGGAAUGAUUGGGCGUAAAGCGUCCGCAGGUGGCUAUGUAAGUCUGCUGUUAAAGAGUGAGGCUCAACCUCAUAAGAGCAGUGGAAACUACAUGGCUAGAGUGCGUUCGGGGCAGAGGGAAUUCCUGGUGUAGCGGUGAAAUGCGUAGAUAUCAGGAAGAACACCGGUGGCUAAAGCGCUCUGCUAGGCCGCAACUGACACUGAGGGACGAAAGCGAGGGGAGCGAAUGGG
rnacentral:rRNA from 1 species